rnacentral:rRNA from 1 species
GAUGAACGCUGGCGGCGUGCCUAAUACAUGCAAGUCGAGCGAACAGACGAGGAGCUUGCUCCUCUGACGUUAGCGGCGGACGGGUGGGUAACACGUGGAUAACCUACCUCUAAGACUGGGAUAACUUCGGGAAACCGGAGCUAAUACCGGAUAAUAUGUUGAACCGCAUGGUUCAAUAGUGAAAGACGGUUUUGCUGUCACUUAUAGAUGGAUCCGCGCCGCAUUAGCUAGUUGGUAAGGUAACGGCUUACCAAGGCGACGAUGCGUAGCCGGGCUGAGAGGGUGAUCGGCCACACUGGAACUGAGACACGGUCCAGACUCCUACGGGAGGCAGCAGUAGGGAAUCUUCCGCAAUGGGCGAAAGCCUGACGGAGCAACGCCGCGUGAGUGAUGAAGGUCUUCGGAUCGUAAAACUCUGUUAUUAGGGAAGAACAAAUGUGUAAGUAACUAUGCACGUCUUGACGGUACCUAAUCAGAAAGCCACGGCUAACUACGUG